rnacentral:lncRNA from 1 species
UGGCUUGCUCUUGUUGCUGAACCGGCCUGAACUCAGCCUCACCCUCAUCCUGUUGGAGUGCAUUGAAACUACCGGGAGUAUCACCCGAUACGUAAAAAGGCUACUGAUCGACCGAUUCGGUCUAAUAACGAUGAUUAUUUUUGCACACAACUAAGGACUCAACAAGCACAGAUGAAAUUAUUGCCUUUAUCAACAUCACUCGAUUUUCGUGUUCUCGGCUCCUGCAAUUGAAGUUUUAUUCCUCGCGUCCCGCAGCGCCAUAGGUCCUUGCGAACCGAAAUCACCAACCCGGUAGCUGUCGCGGAGGCGGCUGUAUGUGGCUUCACGCACCCAUACCCCAUAUGACUCCUCAAAGCCUUCCAUAAUAAUGAUGUUAUGUUGUUUAUACUUGUUGCCCGGGAUGUGAGAUGCCAUACGAUGAACAAAAUUCCAUCCAUGCGUUUUACAUUGCAGCACCGACAACCUAGAAUGGAAGAAACCGGUCACGCGCGCAUCAUCAUUGCCCCAGUCUGUCCCCACAAUGCCCACACUUCUCGCCUGGUUUCGGAACGCGCUCUCCGCCCGCCCUCUGUUGGCAGGUAAGCUUAGCACAUUGCUAUGUCGUCAGUAUCCAACGCGAUUACUGUAAUUCAGUACACAAGAAUGCAAUCAGGAAUUGGCGGUUAGGCCAAUCGGCAACAGUUCACUGCAUUCCAAGGAAAAGCGGUGGCAUUAGUCAAGCCUAAGCAUAAAGGAGGUUGAAACCCUGUCCGUCCUUUUCGAAGGCCAGGUUACGUUCAGGUGCUUGCUAUUCUCAGUUAGUCCAUCGUGAUUAGACAUGCAUGAAACGCCGCGGAAACUCAUCAGGAGGAGGCUUCUUCGCAGCCCGAACCCGAAUCUUGUCGACACCGCUGGGCGCUGCACCUUAAUUAUGUAAUGUAAUUUGAAUCCACUUAUUUAAUGUGGCCCUCUGCGGCCUAAUUAUGGCCACCGUGAGAUGAUGAUGGAACGAGCUGUUUGCAGUUAAGAGUCACAAUCUCACAGCACACAAAAUGCGUCAGUGAAAGCGACUUACAUAUUACAUAGCUUCAAUUACAUUAUUUAAAUCAAAAGCUUCGCAUAUGAGCGUCCAGCCGGGGCGCGGCGGUAACUAUAUUGAAGCUAUGGGGAAAUGCAGAAGGCAUCACAAAAGCUCUGGAACCUGUAGCACGCGUACUACACUCCGCUUCCAGAAAUCGAACAAAGCUACAAAUAGACCCUCGUCGCGUAUAGUUCCGUUGCAGGACUUUUUCGGCCUACCGCCCCUCCAUAACGGUAGGGGCCACCAUUAAAAUAACUGCGAGCCUACUGCUUGCAAUAUGGCCAGCUGAUUCAACUUCUAGUAGCGUAAUCAUUCAUCUAGCUCUUAAGUAGUGAGCUGAAUCACCAGGAAAAGCGCACCGGUCGCUGCCUAACUUGCCUAGCCCUGCCGGGCUACCCGCUGUCUCGCACGCUAUUUUUGCGUAUGCGUGUUCAAAUGUCAUCCACUAUGCUAAGCCUACUAAUCUUUUCACUGCUGGCGGCUCCGGCAGGUAAGAGCUCGCGUCCUUUACCAUCUUGUAGAUGUGGCCAUUGGCCUCCAGUAGGGUCGGUCUUUUGCGGUCUCACUUAUGCGUGUGAUAUAGCUAUUAUUUAAAGUUUUCCUACUAAGCCACAAAGAUUGAGAACUCAUAAGUAACGCGGAAAAUUGCAUUCCCGGUUACUUUUAGGCAUUCGCGAGUAUGUGUCCUGAGUUUGGACAGAUUAAAAACCUGUCCUAAUAUUUAUCUACCUUCAUCCAAUCCUUUGUCAUCCGAGCUCCGUAGUAGCACCGAGCUGCAGCCUGACCCGUUACUAUUCAGCAGCGACUGAUUUUGCGUUGUUUUAACUUAGAUGGGUUGAGUAAUUGCCUCCAACAGCAUGAAUGUGUCAUUACGUAUGAUGUUGAGGUUAGGGAAGGCGUCAACAGUUGAAUCCUCCCGUUCCGCUGCCCGGAUGUGUAACAGCUCGCCCUCAGGACCGGCGCAGUCCGUCAGAAAAAACCCUAAUCCCUCUUUUAUUCGAGCUAAAUACUUGGCAAAAUACUCACAAGCAACUGCCGUACAACCCUCCCGCCUAAACAGGUUCCCUCUUUCAUGCGCUUUUAUUUUCAAUCCCCUCUUAAAACACACAUACAUACAGGCAGACAGACGUACGGCAGACAGACACGCGCACAUGCACAAACACUAUAGCCCACUGUAACAACCACAAGCACAAACACGCCCUGUCUUACCGUUUUCCCCCCCUCCCUUCCCCCGGCGGUGCCCAGCCUUUGCGCAAGACAUCCCGCCGGAUAUGCCAACCAUCAUUGGUCUCGUCGCUCAGCCGCCGCCCCCGCCAAAGCCCCCCAGGCCGCCGCCAAAGCCGCCGGCGCCGCCACCCAAGCCUCCAUCACCGCCCCCGCGGCCACCCAGUCUGCCGCCAAAGCCGCCCAGCCCCAAGCCGCCAGCACCGNNN